GAUGAACGCUAGCUACAGGCUUAACACAUGCAAGUCGCAGGGUAACAUGAGGAAAGCUUGCUUUCCUUGAUGACGACUGGCGCACGGGUGAGUAACGCGUAUCCAACCUUCCCAUAACUACGGGAUAACCCGUUGAAAGACGGCCUAAUACCGUAUGAUAUCGUUUGCUGACAUCAAAUAACGAUUAAAGGUUUAGCGGUUAUGGAUGGGGAUGCGUCUGAUUAGCUUGUUGGCGGGGUAACGGCCCACCAAGGCUACGAUCAGUAGGGGUUCUGAGAGGAAGGUCCCCCACAUUGGAACUGAGACACGGUCCUAACUCCUACGGGAGGCAGCAGUGAGGAAUAUUGGUCAAUGGGCGCGAGCCUGAACCAGCCAAGUAGCGUGCAGGACGACGGCCCUAUGGGUUGUAAACUGCUUUUAUGCGGGGAUAAAGGAGUCCACGUGUGGAUUUUUGCAGGUACCGCAUGAAUAAGGACCGGCUAAUUCCGUGCCAGCGCCGCGGUAAAAGGG
rnacentral:rRNA from 1 species